GACGAACGCUGGCGGCGUGCCUAAUACAUGCAAGUCGAGCGGACAGAAGGGAGCUUGCUCCCGGAAGUUAGCGGCGGACGGGUGAGUAACACGUGGGCAACCUACCCUGUAGAUCGGGAUAACAUCGAGAAAUCGGUGCUAAUACCGGAUAAUCAUUUGAAGUGCAUGCUUCGCAUGUAAAAGAUGGCUCCGGCUAUCACUACGGGAUGGGCCCGCGGCGCAUUAGCUAGUUGGUAAGGUAAUGGCUUACCAAGGCGACGAUGCGUAGCCGACCUGGGAGGGUGAUCGGCCACACUGGGACUGAGACACGGCCCAGACUCCUACGGGAGGCAGCAGUAGGGAAUCUUCCGCAAUGGACGAAAGUCUGACGGAGCAACGCCGCGUGAGUGAUGAAGGUUUUCGGAUCGUAAAGCUCUGUUGUUAGGGAAGAACAAGUGCCGUUUGAAUAAGGCGGCACCUUGACGGUACCUAACCAGAAAGCCACGGCUAACUACGUGCCAGCCGCCGCAGUAAGAC
rnacentral:rRNA from 1 species